rnacentral:rRNA from 1 species
UACGUAGGUUGCGAGCGUUAAUCGGAAUUACUGGGCGUAAAGCGUACGCAGGCGGCUAAGCAAGACAGGUGUGAAAUCCCCGGGCUUAACCUGGGAACUGCAUUUGUGACUGCAUGGCUAGAGUCCGUUAGAGGGGGGUGGAAUUCCACGUGUAGCAGUGAAAUGCGUAGAGAUGUGGAGGAACACCGAUGGCGAAGGCAGCCCCCUGGGAUGAGACUGACGCUCAUGUACGAAAGCGUGGGGAGCAAACAGG